rnacentral:rRNA from 1 species
GACGAACGCUGGCGGCGUGCCUAAUACAUGCAAGUCGAGCGGACAGAAGGGAGCUUGCUCCCGGAAGUUAGCGGCGGACGGGUGAGUAACACGUGGGCAACCUACCCUGUAGAUCGGGAUAACAUCGAGAAAUCGGUGCUAAUACCGGAUAAUCAUUUGCAGUGCAUGCUUCGAAUGUAAAAGAUGGCUCCGGCUAUCACUACGGGAUGGGCCCGCGGCGCAUUAGCUAGUUUGUAAGGUAAUGGCUUACCAAGGCAACGAUGCGAGGCCGACCUGAGAGGGUGGUCGACCACACGGGGACGGAGACACGGCCCAGAAUCCUACGGGGGGCACGAAGAGGUAAGCUUCCGCAAUGGACGAAAGGCUGACGGAGCAACGCCGCGUGAGUGAUGAAGGUUUUCGGAUCGUAAAGCUCUGUUGUUAGGGAAGAACAAGUGCCGUUUGAAUAAGGCGGCACCUUGACGGUACCUACCAGAAAGCCACGGCUAACUACGUGCCAGCCGCCGCAGUAACAC